rnacentral:lncRNA from 1 species
GCGGUGGUGCCGUUCCCGUGUCCCCCGGUGUCUCUGCUCCGGUCGCCGCUGUGGCGGGGCUGCCCCGUCCGCGUUGGCGGGCUUCUCGAGGCCAUCGGCCAGAGAAAAGGGGGUCGAGGCGGUGAGAGAGAGGGCGGCGGCGGCGAAGGCCGCCUGCCGCUUCUUGACGGCCGUGUCGCGGGUGCGACUCGGUCCUUGGGGCGUGUCGAGCGAUCGUGGCGGGCCGUGGGCCGUUCUGCCGUGCCACCCGGCGGACUGAGCGGAAAACGUGAGGUCGCCCCGGCCUCUGACCGCGAGUGCUCGACGUGUGCCCCGUGCUUACCUAUACCGCAGACCCCCCUCGCCUGGCCACUCCCGCGGACGGAUCCCGCCUCUGCGGACCGACGGGGGCCGGUGGGCCGGGUUCGGUCCACCCUCAGUGAGCAAAGUUUCUUCUCUAGCGAUCCGAGCGGGGCGUGCUUUGCGAAGAGGUGGGGAGGUGCCCGCCUCCCCCCCGCGUCUGCCCGCCCGCCUACGUUCUCGCUGCGCGAAAGUCAGCCGUCCGACGCGUCUGUCCCGAUCCGAUGCGUGCCCGCGCCUCCCCCCUCCGAGCUGGGGGAGGGUCCCGCGGGGGGUCCCGGCCGGUGUCCGGCUCUCUCGGGGCCUGCCCGCGAGCGUGCGCCGAGGUCUCGCUCCGCUGGCGCGUGGUGUGUCCGGUGGGGGGGUGUGUUGGGGGUCGGUGGUGUGGCGGACGUCCCGGUCGGUCCCGCCCCUCCCCUCACCCUCCCGUCGCCGUCGCCGCCGCCGCUGCUGCCGCCGCCGCCGCCGCGAGGGGCUCUCCGCCCGCUCCCGUCCCGUGUCGCCGGCCGUUGGCGCCGACGGCGGUGUGCCGGCGCCGGCGUGGGCCCGGGUGGCCCGUCGCGCCCCUCGCGCCGGGCGCCGCGACGGUGGGUGCCCGUCCCCCGGAGGAAGGGGGCCGUACGCGUGUGGGUUCUCUCGAGCGAGGCCGCCGAGGCGGUCGUCCUCCCCGGCGUGCGGACGUCGGCGGAGUCGCGCGUGGGAGUCCCCGUCGACGGGGCUGGUGGACGCGGGUGUUCUCUCCUCGCGGGAGGAGGUGACUCCUCCCGUGGGGGGUGCUCUUCGGACUCCGCCGGCUCCGGCUUCCGGGCGUCGCGGGCGAUGGCGGGACCGCCCCCGUGGGGGGGCGGUGGGAUCCCGCCUGGUUUCCCCGGCGGCCCCGGGCCGUGCGCUCCGCGGGUCUCUCCCCGUCCGCUUCCCCGUCCGGGGUGGGCUCCCGUCCGCCCUCGCCGUCGCCGAUCCUCGCCGUGCGCCCGGCGACCGGUCGCCGUGAGACGGUCGGUGGCGUGUGCGGGGGUGGAGCCGCGACCGGCUCGGCGAGGACGCGGGCUCGGCCUCGACGAGGCGUCGCCGUGGGUCCGUCGCCGACGGCGGGUCCGGGUCGGUCCGUCCCGGGUGGGGGCUCGCGCGCGGGACCGCCGAUGCGCCGCGGGGGCGCUGGCGGUGAGAUUCCCGUGCGUGGGUCCCGGACCGGCGGAAGGCCGGGCUCCCCGAGGCGGUCGUUUCCCCGGCGACCUCGCGGGUGACCGGUGCCGCGUCCCCGCGGCCCUUGUGACGCCGCCUCCCCGCGCCGGGGUUGGCCGUCCGCCACGUUCGCGUGCCGCCCGUCUCGAGUUUUCUCCCUCCGCCCGGCUUCUCCGAUCCCGGGGGCUCGCUUUCCCGCUCGUCGCGUGUCGCCCGCCGUGGUGGGGACCGCGGCGGCGGCCCCGGGUCCUCCGCCCCGCCGCCCCGCCGGCGGCGGCGUUAGGUGCCCGCGGGAAGUCGGGGCGCCCCGUCCCGCCCCCGGCCCGUCGGUGAGUCGAGUGUGGCGAGGCCCUCCCCGUCCCGCGCGCGCGCGUGCGGGGGCGGGGUCGGCGCGGACCCGGGUCCUCCGGCCCGUCCGUCGCGGGAGUCGUCGUCGCCGGCCGGCGUGGCGUCGUGCCCGCCUCGCGCGUGCGGGUCGUUCGGAGGGGGGCGCCCGGGAGGAGGGCGGGGUUUCGGCCCCGCUCCUCCCCCGACCCCCGCCCCGCCCUCCCCGCCGCGCGUGGCGAGUCGUCCCCGUCGACCGGCGGCGAGCGCCCUGCGGCGCGAUCGGCGCCGGCCGGUCCCCGCGGCCCGCGUCCUUCCCCGCCCGCCGCCGCCGCCGCCGCGGUACGCGGGGUGCGGCCCGCGCCCCCCUCACCCGUCGGGCCGCGGUCGGCGGUCGCCGCGCCCCUUCCGCCCCGCCGCUCCGCGCCGCCCUCGCGCGCGCCUCGCCCCGCGGCCCCGGUCCCGGGGUGCGUCCCGGCGGAGCGAGCCCGUCCGCCCGGCGGCGGUAGACGGACGGACGGACCGACGGACGGACGGCGGGUGUCGCGGUCGGGUCGCCGACCGGCGCGCGCCCGUCCGCCUCCGCCUCCGCCGCCUCCCCCGCCCGCCCGCCCGCCCGCGCCUCUCCGCGGGGCGAGACCAGACCUCGCCGUCGGGCCCCGGCCCCCGUCCGUCUGUCCCGGGCGCUCGGCUUCCCGGUCCCCGGCUCCCCUCGCUCGCUCGCGCUCCCCUACCUGGUUGAUCCUGCCAGUAGCAUAUGCUUGUCUCAAAGAUUAAGCCAUGCAUGUCUAAGUACGCACGGCCGGUACAGUGAAACUGCGAAUGGCUCAUUAAAUCAGUUAUGGUUCCUUGGUCGCUCGCUCCUCUCCUACUUGGAUAACUGUGGUAAUUCUAGAGCUAAUACAUGCCGACGGGCGCUGACCCCCUUCGCGGGGGGAAUGCGUGCAUUUAUCAGAUCAAAACCAACCCGGUGAGCUCCCUCCCCGGCCCCGGCCGGGGGGUGCGGGCG